rnacentral:rRNA from 1 species
UACGAAGGGGGCUAGCGUUGCUCGGAAUCACUGGGCGUAAAGCGCACGUAGGUGGGUCGUUAAGUCGGGGGUGAAAUCCUGGAGCUCAACUCCAGAACUGCCUUCGAUACUGGCGAUCUUCGAGUUCGGGAGAGGUGAGUGGAACUGCGAGUGUAGAGGUGAAAUUCGUAGAUAUUCGCAAGAACACCAGUGGCGAAGGCGGCUACCUGGACCGGUAUUGACGCUAAGGCGCGAAAGCGUGGGGAGCAUACAGG